UAAACUGCAGAUUUCGAAGAUGGAUCAACCGAAUUUCUACGCACUACCAGCUACCGACAUUCAUAUCAUAUAACAAACAAAACAGACCACACUUGCAAGACCACGGCAGCACUUGUCAGGAAAGUCACUUGUUUAACAGCCAACGACACGUUCCAGCACCACACUUGUGGCAAACGACACGUUCCAGGUACCACACUUGUGGCAAACGACACGUUCCAGUACCACACUUGUGGCAAACGACAUCCAAGUCAGGGAUCCAACAAACGACUACAGUAUGUAUCAGAAGACGACGCUAGCUACACCACCAACCAGCGAAUCAUGCUGGUCAGGACCGGUUUCAGAGCAGGCGCUGCAGCGUUCAUCUGUACGCCGGUGCGCCGGCGAAGGAGUAGAGGGAGGACACUGGCACCCUUGAAGCAGCAGGCCCCUGGAGGUUUGCCGGGUAAGCAGCUGGGUAAGCACCACGGUAGAUCUCAUCAGCGUAGCUUGGGGGUGCGGCGACCUCCUGUGGCGGCACCCUGUAGUCUCUUGGAAGGAAUGGAUCCACCCUGUUGGCGGCGUCAGCUGGAGCCCU
rnacentral:lncRNA from 1 species